GAUGAACGCUGGCGGCGUGCCUAAUACAUGCAAGUCGAGCGAACGGACGAGAAGCUUGCUUCUCUGAUGUUAGCGGCGGACGGGUGAGUAACACGUGGAUAACCUACCUAUAAGACUGGGAUAACUUCGGGAAACCGGAGCUAAUACCGGAUAAUAUUUUGAACCGCAUGGUUCAAAAGUGAAAGACGGUCUUGCUGUCACUUAUAGAUGGAUCCGCGCUGCAUUAGCUAGUUGGUAAGGUAACGGCUUACCAAGGCAACGAUGCAUAGCCGACCUGAGAGGGUGGUCGGCCACACGGGAACUGAGACACGGUCCAGACUCCUACGGGAGGCAGCAGUAGGGAAUCUUCCGCAAUGGGCGAAAGCCUGACGGAGCAACGCCGCGUGAGUGAUGAAGGUCUUCGGAUCGUAAAACUCUGUUAUUAGGGAAGAACAUAUGUGUAAGUAACUGUGCACAUCUUGACGGUACCUAAUCAGAAAGCCACGGCUAACUACGUG
rnacentral:rRNA from 1 species